UCUGGUUGAUCCUGCCAGUAGUCAUAUGCUUGUCUCAAAGAUUAAGCCAUGCAUGUCUAAGUAUAAGCAGUUUAUACAGUGAAACUGCGAAUGGCUCAUUAAAUCAGUUAUCGUUUAUUUGAUAGUUCCUUUACUACAUGGUAUAACUGUGGUAAUUCUAGAGCUAAUACAUGCUUAAAAUCUCGACCCUUUGGAAGAGAUGUAUUUAUUAGAUAAAAAAUCAAUGUCUUCGGACUCUUUGAUGAUUCAUAAUAACUUUUCGAAUCGCAUGGCCUUGUGCUGGCGAUGGUUCAUUCAAAUUUCUGCCCUAUCAACUUUCGAUGGUAGGAUAGUGGCCUACCAUGGUUUCAACGGGUAACGGGGAAUAAGGGUUCGAUUCCGGAGAGGGAGCCUGAGAAACGGCUACCACAUCCAAGGAAGGCAGCAGGCGCGCAAAUUACCCAAUCCUAAUUCAGGGAGGUAGUGACAAUAAAUAACGAUACAGGGCCCAUUCGGGUCUUGUAAUUGGAAUGAGUACAAUGUAAAUACCUUAACGAGGAACAAUUGGAGGGCAAGUCUGGUA
rnacentral:rRNA from 1 species